rnacentral:rRNA from 1 species
AUUGAACGCUGGCGGCAUGCCUUACACAUGCAAGUCGAACGGUAACAGGUCUUCGGAUGCUGACGAGUGGCGAACGGGUGAGUAAUACAUCGGAACGUGCCUAGUAGUGGGGGAUAACUACUCGAAAGAGUGGCUAAUACCGCAUGAGAUCUACGGAUGAAAGCAGGGGAUCGCAAGACCUUGUGCUACUAGAGCGGCCGAUGGCAGAUUAGGUAGUUGGUGGGAUAAAAGCUUACCAAGCCGACGAUCUGUAGCUGGUCUGAGAGGACGAUCAGCCACACUGGGACUGAGACACGGCCCAGACUCCUACGGGAGGCAGCAGUGGGGAAUUUUGGACAAUGGGCGAAAGCCCGAUCCAGCAAUGCCGCGUGCAGGAUGAAGGCCUUCGGGUUGUAAACUGCUUUUGUACGGAACGAAAAGCCCCGGGUUAAUACCCUGGAGUCAUGACGGUACCGUAAGAAUAAGCACCGGCUAACUACGUGCCAGCCGCCGCAGUAA